UAUAUCAUCUUGACAAAACAGGCAAAGAUAA
rnacentral:piRNA from 1 species